GCUGUUGAAACACCAAUUCUCGCCCGAUCACCGAAGUUAAGCAACGUUGAACCUAGUCAGUACUUAAAUGGGUAACAGUUUAGGAAUAACGUGUGCUGUAAG